rnacentral:rRNA from 1 species
GGUGGCGACAGGUCAUUCAACAUUCUGCCCUAUCAGCUUUCGACGGUUGUGUAGUGGACAACCAUGGCCAUAACGGGUAACGGAGAAUCAGGGUUCGAUUCCGGAGAAGGAGCUUGAGAAUUGGCUACUACAUCUAAGGAAGGCAGCAGGCGCGCAAAUUACCCAAUCCCGAUUCGGGGAGGUAGUGACAAAAAAUAACAAUACCGGGCCUUUUUGGGCUUGGUAAUUGGAAUGAGGGAGAGUUAAACGGACCAUCGAGUAUCCAUUGGAGGGCAAGUCUGGUGCCAGCAGCUGCGGUAAUACCAGCUCCAAUAGCGUAUAUUAAAGUUGUUGCAGUUAAAAAGCUCGUAGUUGGACUUGUGUGCGCUGUCCGCGGGUGGCCUGCGCCCAAAAGGGCGUUUCGGUUCGGCCCCGGUGGCGCCUUGAAAUCUGCAGCUGGGGGGACGUUGGCCUUAACUGGUCGGCGACCGCACGCCGGCUGCUCGGUUACUGUGAGAAAAUUAGAGUGUUCAAGGCAGGCAUUGGGUGCAAUUGAAUACAUUAGCAUGGAAUAAUAAAAUAUGGCUCCUGCCGUAUUUUGUUGGUUUUGACUGGUGGGAGUAAUGAUUGAUAGGGACGGUUGGGGGUGCUAGUAUUGAGCGGCCAGAGGUGAAAUUCAUGGAUUCGCUCAAGACUAACUUAUGCGAAAGCAUUCACCAAGGACGUCCUCUUUAAUCAAGAACGAAAGUUGGGGGAUCGAAGACGAUCAGAUACCGUCGUAGUCUCAACCAUAAACUAUGUCGACUUGGGAUCGGCGGUAGUUUUUUCAUUAAGACACUGCCGGGACCACGGGAGAAAUCAAAGUGUCUGGACUCUGGGGGAAGUAUGGUCGCAAGGCUGAAACUUGAAGGAAUUGACGGAAGGGCACCACCAGGAGUGGAGCCUGCGGCUUAAUUUGACCCAACACGGGGAAACUUACCAGGUCCAGAGACGUAGAGGAUUGACAGAUUGAAGCUCUUUCUUGAUCACUUCGGUGGUGGUGCAUGGCCGUUCUUAGUUGGUGGAGUGAUUUGUCUGGUUAAUUCCGUUAACGAACGAGACCUCAGCCUGCUAGUGUAGUCGGCUGGAUUGCCUUUGGCGAUCCGUGAUUUCGACUUCUUAGAGGGACAAUCGAUGCGCAGUCGAUGGAAGUUUGAGGCAAUAACAGGUCUGUGAUGCCCUUAGAUGUUCU